rnacentral:ncRNA from 1 species
AUUGAUUCGUUGAAAAAGAGAGUACUUUAUCUAAGGUCAUCACAAGCGAUUUCGGGACGGUGUAAGCCGAAAAUGACAAGUAAAGGAAGCGCACUUUAGAGGAUCUGCACAAGCAGACGGCUAUCUACCGUUAUUAGAUUAAGUGGGUCUAUCGUAGAAUGGACAAUUAGAGUGGUACCGCGGGAAAUUCUCGUCUCUGGU